GUUGUCUCCAAAACCAGACAACCAACAACCCUAGAAAACACCACUCUAUGGUUUCUCCAUCUUCCUCCACUCCAGAACUCGAAAUCCACAUUUCCGCUGUCUUCAGACGGCAACUGUUUCUGUUGCUCUCUCUGGACUCCCAAAAGUGAAAGAAGGAAAUCAUGGCGGACAUUACGAUAAUGUAUGAAAUAGACUCUCUGGCGGCCGCGGCUGGUAAUGAUCUCUCCCUCGUCGAUAUUCAGCUUCCUCCUGGCGAAAACUUUGGA
rnacentral:misc_RNA from 1 species